UACGGGGGGAGCAAGCGUUGUUCGGAUUUACUGGGCGUAAAGGGCGCGUAGGCGGCCACCGAAAGUCGACUGUGAAAUCUCCGGGCUUAACCCGGAAAGGUCAGCCGAUACUGCGGGGCUAGAGUGCAGAAGGGGCAACUGGAAUUCUCGGUGUAGCGGUGAAAUGCGUAGAUAUCGAGGGGAACACCUGCGGCGAAGGCGGGUUGCUGGGCUGACACUGACGCUGAUGCGCGAAAGCUAGGGGAGCGAACGGG
rnacentral:rRNA from 1 species